GCGUCGGUAGCUCAUCAUGGAAGAGCAGGGAGCUUUUAACUCUCAGGUGUCUGGUUCGAGUCCAGGGCGGCGUACCA
rnacentral:tRNA from 4 species